AUAGAUUCCACAAGCAAAUGUAAUGAAGAGAAGCUUUGUGGUGCUGUGAGCCAUCAUCCUGUUCCCGCCAGAGUGCCUUCAGAGACGCGCAACGCCUGGGAACGGUCCUGUUGUCCUAUGUCUCCCCCAGGAGCUGCACAGGGUGUGUACACUGGAGAAUUUCCCGUUCUAUGAUGUAAGCCUUCGAAUUCUCUGCUAAAUCCCUACAGUCCAGCACCGAGCCCAGGCCAUGGGAAGGGACUAUUUGCUGCGUUCACACAAAAGCACAGGACAGAACUAUGUAGACGCUCCCCCCUCUUUACCUCCGCCUCCACCUGCUGCUGCGUCCGGUGGUGGUUCUCCUUGUACUGGUUGGCUCUCAGAACUUGCUGCUCAAUGCCCAAGAGAACGGCCUCGCAGCCAUCACACCUGCAAUGGAAACACCGUCCUGAGCAGAGUCGCCCAGCACCACCCACCCGGCGGACUUCCUUGAACGAGCCCCACUGCCAGAUGCUCUCGCCAGUCUGCUCUCCUUCCAAACAAGUCCGCACAUCCAGUGGCUUGUGGGGUUUCUCGGAACACAGCUCCAGUCCCCGUCUUUGCCGCCCAGAAGAAACAGUUGUACAGACUAAGACUGAAGGAGGGACACGCUCUACAGGCUGGGCGUGGUGACACAGCCUUUAAUCCCAACACUCAGGAAGCAAGAGGCAGACAGACCGAUCCCUGAGUUCAAGGUUAGACUGGUCCAUACCAGCCAGGUCUCAAACUGAGAGUCUGUCUCAAAAAUAAAAAAAUUUUGGAAGAGC